rnacentral:rRNA from 1 species
UGGGGAAUAUUGGACAAUGGGCGAAAGCCUGAUCCAGCCAUGCCGCGUGUGUGAAGAAGGUCUUCGGAUUGUAAAGCACUUUAAGUUGGGAGGAAGGGCAUUAACCUAAUACGUUAGUGUUAUGACGUUACCGACAGAAUAAGCACCGGCUAACUCUGUGCCAGCAGCCGCGGUAAUACAGAGGGUGCAAGCGUUAAUCGGAAUUACUGGGCGUAAAGCGCGCGUAGGUGGUUUGUUAAGUUGGAUGUGAAAUCCCCGGGCUCAACCUGGGAACUGCAUUCAAAACUGACUGACUAGAGUAUGGUAGAGGGUGGUGGAAUUUCCUGUGUAGCGGUGAAAUGCGUAGAUAUAGGAAGGAACACCAGUGGCGAAGGCGACCACCUGGACUAAUACUGACACUGAGGUGCGAAAGCGUGGGGAGCAAACA